rnacentral:rRNA from 1 species
ACGUUAGGAAAUGAACGUACCUUGACGGUACCUUAUUAAAAAGCCACGGCUAACUACGUGCCAGCAGCCGCGGUAAUACGUAGGUGGCAAGCGUUGUCCGGAUUUAUUGGGCGUAAAGCGCGCGCAGGCGGUUUCUUAAGUCUGAUGUGAAAGCCCACGGCUUAACCGGGGAGGGUCAUUGGAAACUGGGAGACUUGAGUGCAGAAGAGGA